UGUGCACCUCUCUCAGUCCUUCGCUCUCUCCGUCUCUCUCUGCAAGUUUGUCGGCCGUGGCGGCUGACAGCCGGCUCUGUGCGGCGCCUUCUCAUCCUCGUUCCGUCGAGCGCCUUCCGUGGCGGUUUUUUUUUUUUUGCGCCGUGCCCGGCAGACCUUGGGACCCGACCGCCGGCUCGCUGGGAAACUGUUGGAGCCCGCGUCCGCGUCCACCCGCCGCGCUGGGGGAGCGUGGGUAAUGCCUGCCGUCCAUGCCGGUGUCUCCCUCCCUUUGGUUCAGUAGCACAGUAACCCAUAUAAAUCAACUGAGGACUGAGGAAAGGCAACCUCAUAAUCCAAGGCAUAUCCCAGUUAAACAUCAGACGACACCCUGGCUUUCUGCACAGCAGGAGGCUUCCUUCAGAGGAGGAUUCAGAUGGAACGGACUUUACACUUGGAAUUCUGCCAGUGAAAUAGGAGAAUCUCAGCCAUUUGAGCACUGGGAGUGAAAGGGAUUGUGGGGGAUGGAGUUUCUAGUGACUGGAGCGAGAGUGCCCCAUGGUCCAGACAGCCACUGGUGGGGCCUUGCCUUGUGAUGCAAGGCAUCUUCAAUCAAUUAAAAAAAGCUCUCUUGACAAAAAGUGGAUUGUGAACUAUCUCCCUCGCUUUCCGCCGUAAGACUCUUUUCGGUGACGGGUAUUCUUGGGUGGAUAAUACGGAUCGCGUUGUUAUUGCUUAAGAAUACGCGUAGUCGAGGAGAGUCAUUCCUGCAGCGUCGUCGACUUAAAUCCAAUGAUCUCUAAAGUGCCCACCUGCCUGAUUGCUUUAUACUGCGGCUAAUAACGUAGAGAAACUCCGAAACACACACACAGGUCUAUUUAUCAAGCAACCUGACAUAUUACCUCUUCCUAUUUAUUUCUGUGAUUACUGUACUGUCAAGUGGAGAGCUAGCCAUGGUAACAUCGGCCAUCACGUUUUUUUUAUAGCUGUGUAUUUCAAAGAAGAAUUUUCCCCUUUGAGAAUAUUACUAUUUUUUGCUGCACUGUUUUGUAAUUCUGUUAACCCUGCUGCCAACGUGGUGUCUGAUCUCUAGAAUAUGAAUUCAAAAAAAUGUUUUAUUCUGCUUCUCUCUAUUUGUGGAUGAAAUACACCCUCAUAUGCAUUUGUCCAUUUCACGGCAUGUUGGAAAGGGGAACGGCAUUGUGCAUGUUAUAUAGAUUGGCUUGCUGCAAGAAAUGCUUCCAUUAUUCUUUAUCUGCUCAUGCUGACAAACAUAGACUUCCCUUUCAACCUUAUUUUAAGCAGAUCGAUUUUAAAAUUGCAUUUAUCGGCCAGUGUUUGGCUCAAAGGACACAGUUAAGCCACUAGGGCCAUGGAGCAAUAUGUUUCAAUUCAUGCAGUGAGGGGAUAGUGUGUUUACACAAACAGACAUGGAGAGAAAAAGCAGGAGGUGUAGCUGAAAUAGACUAAUGCCACAAGCAGAUUUUAAUCUACCACCAUGUUAGCAUGAUAAAAAGCAUGGCGUACAAUGGCUUGAGAAUAAAAAAAUGCAUUUUAGGAAGGUAGUCAGUGCUUACCCACAUUAACCACAAACACCCACUCCUCUCCCUGUGUCUGUCCACCUCUACAAAUAUAUACACACGUAUGCACACAUGCACAUGUACACCUAUAUAUUUAAAUUUGUGAAAAUUAAUAAAGAAUUUACAAUUA